ACGUAGGUGUCGAGCGUUAUCCGGAAUUACUGGGCGUAAAGGGCACGCAGGCGGCUGCUCAAGUCUGACGUGAAAACUCCCGGCUUAACCGGGAGAGGCCGUUGGAAACUGAGUAGCUUGAGGCAAUGAGAGGGAUGCGGAAUUCCAGGUGUAGUGGUGGAAUGCGUAGAUAUCUGGAAGAACACCAGUGGCGAAAGCGGCAUCCUGGCAUUGACCUGACGCUGAGGUGCGAAAGCGUGGGUAGCGAACGGG
rnacentral:rRNA from 1 species